ensembl:snoRNA SNORD33 Small nucleolar RNA Z195/SNORD33/SNORD32 family
GCAGUCCGUGAUGAGGAGCAAUCACCAUCUUUCGUUUGAGUCUCACGACCAUGAGAUCAACCCCAUGCACCGCUCUGAGACCUGC